rnacentral:misc_RNA from 1 species
UUGCACCCGUUCUGUCUACAGCAUAGAUCUUCUCAACUGCUCUGACCCAAAGCAUCAGCAGGACCAGCUGUCCCUGAUGACGAAGAAUUGUAAGAUUUUAUAAGGUGGUUACAACGACAGUAAAUAAAGCUAAGAAAAGAUAGAUAUGUUUCUCUACAUUAUCCUGGAAGUUUUACUGCCGUCAUCACUGGCUUUAAGUAGAGAUCUGGACCUGUUUCAAGCAGUGAUAGGAGGACAGGCGCACCUACCAUGUGACGUCACUGCUCCUUCAUCUGAUGACUCUGUGUCGCUUGUAUUGUGGUAUCGGAGUAACAUCAACGCUCCUAUUUUUAGUGUAGACUGCAGAAAUGGGCCUUUAGAGAAUUCCCAACACUUUCCCAGUGAUUAUUUAGGAAAGCGCGGGACUUUUGACCUGAGUACUAGACCUGCCGUAUUCACCAUUAACCCUGUUUUGCCCGAAGACGAAGGAAAAUAUCGGUGCCGUAUAGACUAUCGCCGAGCUCGAACCUUUAAUGUUAGAAUGAAACUACAAGUCAUCACGCCCCCUACGAGUGUUGUCAUCGUCGAUCAGAACAAUCAACGACUGAGAAAUAUUAUAGGGCCUUACAAUGAAGGUUCGAGGAUUGUUCUUCGGUGUAUCGCGGAAGGAGGAAAACCUCCUCCAGCAGUUACUUGGUGGCGGAGCUCAGUAUUGAUAGACAACCAUUACAUGCAAAUAGACAGCGACAAAGUUGAGAAUCAGCUAUUUAUUGACCUUAAUCGUCAAGAUUUCAACAUGUCUCUGACGUGCCAAGCUUCGAACACAAACCUCACAUCUCCAAAGAACGUUUCAGUGAACGUCGACAUGAAUUUGAAGCCGCUGGACGUACAUAUAAUGUAUGCCAAGCCUUAUAUUUCUGCUGGUCAACGGGUCAGUGUCCAGUGUCGAACAUCAGGGUCACGACCUGCUGCACAUCUAGCCUGGUUCAAAGAAGGUCAGCUGAUGGAAGGGAGCAAGGAUGUUACUGACCGCAAUGGGAUCUGGACGAUAAGUACUCUUGUGUUCACGCCAUCUAGUGAUGACAAUGGAAAAUAUAUUUCUUGUCAGACGAUGAACCCUAAUUUUCCUAAUUUCACUCGUCAAGAUGGUUGGAAUCUGAAUGUUUAUUACAAACCGGAGGUAUUCGUGUCUCUAGAACUCAGCCAUCCAUCUGAGAAACUCCACGAGGGAGAUAGUAUUUUUCUGGAAUGUCGAGCCCAUUCCAACCCUAUUAUCACUAGCAUUCUGUGGUACUUUGAGGAUAACCUACUUACGAGCAACUCAACAGCAGAUAUAUUCGUGAGAAACCAGAGCAUUGAGAUCAAGAAUGCACAAAGGAGACAUAGUGGAAAGUACAAUUGUGCUGCGGAAAAUGCCGAGGGCCGGAGUACUAGUAACGGAUUUCAGUUAAAUAUUAAAUAUGCUCCUAUCUGUAAAGAUGGACAGAAGACAGCAUAUACAGUGUCUUUAAACGAAGGCGUGCAGGUCACAUGCGAAGUAGACGCAGAUCCCACGACUAUCAACUUUCUUUGGCACUUUAACAAUUCGGUGGAGAGUCGAGAGAUUCUGUCUGUAAGAAGUGAUGGUCUCGUAAGUUCGGCACGUUACAUUCAUCGUCAGCACGACGACUUUGGCGUUUUGACAUGCAGAGGACAGAACUCUGUUGGUGUCCAGAAGGAACCUUGUCGAUACAGUCUCAUCCCAGUAGGUCCUCCUGAUCCUGUACACUCUUGUAACGUGUCCAAUUGUUCAAGCGGGUCCUUCAUCCUAGAAUGCAGUCCAGGAGACGACGGUGGAUUGCCACAAAGCUUUCAUUUAGAGGUUUACAGUUCAGAGUCUAACGUACUACUGGCCAACCUAACGAGGCUAAGUAAUCCAGUUUUCCAAGCAACCAACCUUCCAGCAGGAGAAUCUUUUUAUCUAAUAGUUUACGCUGCUAAUGCCAAGGGCCAGAGCCAGGGGGUUAGAACCACAGCUAAGAUUCCUCUAUCAGCCAAGCGACAAUUAGGAAAAUUUUCCUCAUCCGGACUUAGACCACUUCUGGGGGUUCUGGUGGGAACGGUGGCUUCUUUGGUGUUGAUGGCGAUAAUUAUUGUAAUUAUCAUCCGUAUGAGGGGAAUGGAGGCUCAACCUAAUGGAAAAGGAGGUUUUACCAUCAUUCAACAAGUCGGAUGUCUUUUCAUCAGUACGAUAAACCAGUAGAAGAAGGAUCUCACUCUCACGAAAUCUCGGAGUUUCAAAAUCGUUUUAACACCAAAGACUUGGAUACUAGAUCCAGUGACUGCUUGACUACCGAGGAUAGUCACAGUUUUCAAUAUCCUGAUCCUUAUUAUCCACGAUUAAAGACUCCACCUAUGGCUGUUAGGUUGCGAGUUACUGCUGACAAUCAUCCUUCAGAGCAAG